CGCGAUAAUGGCAAACCUAUCGAAAGAUAGGGACGCAAAGCUAUAGGGCCUUCCUGUUGAUGGCAGCCAGCUACCGAAU
rnacentral:ncRNA from 1 species